AUGGCCACUAGACAGAGGGAGUCUUCCUUCACCUCCUGCUUUUCCACCUGGAAUUGCGACGCGGGCGACGAGGGCGUGGGCUGCACCUGCGAAGAUGCUUCCUUGUGCAAGAAGCGCCUGUCGGGCGCGGGAUUCGGGGCUGGCAUCUGGGACGCGGGCUGAGGUGGGAGGCGGGCCUGCAUCUGAAGAAUACGCUCGGAGGCUGGCAGGUUGCUGCCCCCGCCUCGCACGACCCUCGCUUCCCACCUGUGAAAUGCACAGAACAGGGCUUCAUUUAUUUAACGAAUCGUUUCUGAGCUCCUGCUGUGAGCCAGGCUUGGAGCAAGCCUGGGUACUGUGGAUGGGAGCAGGCCCCUGAACCAGGCGGACGGGGUCUUGGCGUUCUCGGAGCUAAACGCUGCUAGAAAGACAAACAUGAUGCACCUAACUACUGUCUCCGUAGAUUAUGAGGAUGAGAGGUGGAGGUUCUCUCUCUUUUAGGCUUGCAGUAAGGUUGGGCUGCUGGCACGACCCUUACAUCCACCACUUUGUGAGACUGUCUAAAGACAGGAAAGUCCCUGAAAUCAACAGAGGU
rnacentral:lncRNA from 10 species